GUUUAAAUAGCUUAUACAGAGUACAAUAUUGAAGAUGUUGGGGAGAUUAAUUUAAUCUUUAAAUA
rnacentral:tRNA from 1 species